UACGUAGGGCGCAAGCGUUAUCCGGAAUUAUUGGGCGUAAAGAGCUCGUAGGCGGUUUGUCGCGUCUGCCGUGAAAGUCCGGGGCUCAACCCCGGACUUGCAGUGGGUACGGGCAGACUAGAGUGUGGUAGGGGAGACUGGAAUUCCUGGUGUAGCGGUGAAAUGCGCAGAUAUCAGGAGGAACACCGGUGGCGAAGGCGGUUCUCUGGGCAUGUCCUGACGCUGAGGAGCGAAAGUGUGGGGAGCGAACAGG
rnacentral:rRNA from 1 species